rnacentral:misc_RNA from 1 species
GAUGAAGAACGCAGCGAAAUGCGAUAAGUAAUGUGAAUUGCAGAAUUCAGUGAAUCAUCGGAUCUUUGAACGCACCUUGCGCCCUUUGGCCAUUCCGAAGGGCAUGCCUGUUUGAGUAUCAUGAACACCUCAACUCUUUAUGGUUUUCCAUGAUGAGCUUGGACUCUGGGGGUUUUGCUGGCUCACAGUCGGCUCCUCUAAAAUGAAUCAGCUUACCAGUGUUUGGUGGGUAUCAUGGGUGUGAUAACUAUCUACGCUUGUGGUUUUUCCACCAGGUAACCUUCAGCAGUGGAGGUUCGCUGGAGCUCAUAGAUGUCUCUCCUCAGUGAGGACAGCCCUUUGAAUGUUUGAUCUCAAAUCAGGUAGGACUACCCGCUGAACUUAAGCAUAUCAAUAAGCGGAGGA